UACAGAGGGUGCGAGCGUUGUCCGGAAUCACUGGGCGUAAAGGGCGCGUAGGCGGCCUGUUAAGUCAGUGGUGAAAUCCAACAGCUCAACUGUUGAUGUGCCAAUGAUACUGACAGGCUUGAGUACAGACGAGGUAGGCGGAAUUGACAGUGUAGCGGUGAAAUGCAUAGAUAUUGUCAAGAACACCGAUAGCGAAGGCAGCUUGCUAGCCUGUAACUGACGCUGAGGCACGAAAGUGUGGGGAUCAAACAGG
rnacentral:rRNA from 1 species